GCAAGUCGAGGGACAAAGCCACCUUCGGGUGGUGGAGACCGGCGAACGGGUGAGUAACACGUGAGGAACCUACCCGGUGCUUCGGGAUAACCGCGGGAAACCGUGGCUAAUACCGGAUGUUCCGCGCUGACCGCAUGGUUGGUGUGGGAAAGUUCAGGCGGCAUCGGACGGCCUCGCGGCGUAUCAGCUUGUUGGUGGGGUAACGGCCUACCAAGGCGACGAUCAGUAGCUGGUCUGAGAGGAUGAUC
rnacentral:rRNA from 1 species